rnacentral:rRNA from 1 species
UACGUAGGGGGCAAGCGUUGUCCGGAAUUACUGGGCGUAAAGCGUGCGCAGGCGGUUUUGUAAGCCAGAUGUGAAAUCCCCGGGCUCAACCUGGGAAUGGCAUUUGGGACUGCAAGGCUCGAGUGCGGCAGAGGAGACUGGAAUUCCUGGUGUAGCAGUGAAAUGCGUAGAUAUCAGGAGGAACACCGAUGGCGAAGGCAGGUCUCUGGGCUGACACUGACGCUCAUGCACGAAAGCGUGGGGAGCAAACAGG